rnacentral:rRNA from 1 species
AUACGGAGGGUGCAAGCGUUAUCCGGAUUUAUUGGGUUUAAAGGGUGCGUAGGCGGUUAUUUAAGUCAGUGGUGAAAGUUUUCGGCUCAACCGGAAAAUUGCCAUUGAUACUGGGUAGCUAGAAUAUGGUUGCUGUGAGUAGAAUGAGUGGUGUAGCGGUGAAAUGCAUAGAUAUCACACAGAAUACCGAUUGCGAAGGCAUCUCACAAAGCCAUCAUUGACGCUGAGGCACGAAAGUGUGGGGAUCAAACAGGAUUAGAUACCCUGGUAGUCCACACUGUAAACGAUGAUAACUAGCUGUUGGCGAUACACAGUCAGUGGCCAAGCGAAAGCGAUAAGUUAUCCACCUGGGGAGUACGACCGCAAGGUUGAAACUCAAAUGAAUUGACGGGG